ensembl:lncRNA
UGGACAGCCCUCCUCCCCAGUAUCUGGUGGUCAUGAUUGUGCUUACAUCUAUGGGGUGCUGGGGGGAUGGCUGUGCUCUGACACACUUCCUCACUGCAGAACAGGACUCAGUCAAGGAUAUCCAACCGAACAUCAGUCAUGCAUGGGGAACAGCCAGCGAGGAGAAUGAGCUCGAUCAUCCGUGCAGAUCCCGAGGGGGGUCGGUGGCGAGGAGGAGCUCGUGGUAAGACUUCCGCCCCACAGCUAAUCCAAGAUAGAGGUACUAUCAUGGACGCCAGCCGCAACAGCUUGCUUACAAACGGAUUUCAUAGACACGGCCGGUGGUAGCUGGUCCCCUGCAGGACGG